CAAUAGCGUAUAUUAAAGUUGUUGCAGUUAAAAAGCUCGUAGUUGGAUUUCGGGGUGGCCUGGCUGGUCCGCCGCAAGGUGAGUACUGGUCAGCCGCCCUUCCUCUCGAAAGCCCCGACUGCUCUUUACUGCAGUGGUCGGGUAGUUCGGGACGUUUACUUUGAAAAAAUUAGAGUGUUCAAGGCAGGCUAUCGCCUGAAUACAUUAGCAUGGAAUAAUGGAAGAGGACCUCGGUCCUAUUUUGUUGGUUUCUAGGGCCGAAGUAAUGAUUAAGAGGGACAGUUGGGGGCAUUCGUAUUUAAUUGUCAGAGGUGAAAUUCUUGGAUUUAUGAAAGACGAACUAGUGCGAAAGCAUUUGCCGAGGAUGUUUUCAUUAA
rnacentral:rRNA from 1 species